rnacentral:rRNA from 1 species
CCUACGGGAGGCAGCAGUGGGGAAUAUUGCACAAUGGGGGAAACCCUGAUGCAGCGACGCCGCGUGCGCGAAGAAGGCCUUCGGGUCGUAAAGCUCUGUCCUAAGGGAAGAUAAUGACUGUACCUUAGGAGGAAGCCCCGGCUAACUACGUGCCAGCAGCCGGGGUAAUACGUAGGGGGCGAGUGUGGUCCGGAAUUACUGGGCGUAAAGGGUGCGUAGGCGGUCAUGUAAGCCAGAUGUGAAAGCCCUCGGCUUAACCGAGGUAAGCAUUUGAAACUGCAUAACUUGAGUGCAGAAGAGGAGAGUGAAAUUCCUAGUGGAGCGGUGAGAUGCGUAGAUAUUAGGAAGAACAGCAGUGGCGAAGGCGACUCUCUGGACUGUAACUGACGCUAAGGCACGAAAGCGUGGGGUGCGAACAGGAUUAGAUACCCUAGUAGUC